rfam:Trichoplax adhaerens TRIADscaffold_4 genomic scaffold, whole genome shotgun sequence.
GUCUACGACCAUAUCACGUUGAAAGCACCCGUUCUCGUCUGAUCACGGAAGUUAAGCGGCGUCGAGCAGGGUUAGUACUUAGAUGGGUGACCGCUUGGGAAUACCCUGUGCCGUAGUCU